GUGGGCACUGCAUGCCAUCAGUGCGUUUCUUCGUUUGCACUUUGUAGCCCUCCUUUUGUGUGGCUGGUACUGUUGGGAUGGAGUCCUUUUAGCUCUCACCCCAGGUGGGCAGUGUGUGUAGGUUGCAGAUGCUUAAGACCACUUUGUGCCCUUGAGAGGCUACCCAGGCCUACCCUUGUCGCAUUUUCGCUCUCCAUUAGGCGAGACAUGUUCAGAUAGCUUCAAGAGUGUCCAUGGCUUUUUGGUGGAGGACUGGUGAGUCUGAC